rnacentral:rRNA from 1 species
GAUGAACGCUGGCGGCGUGCCUAAUACAUGCAAGUCGAGCGAACGGACGAGAAGCUUGCUUUUCUGAUGUUAGCGGCGGACGGGUGAGUAACACGUGGAUAACCUACCUAUAAGACUGGGAUAACUUCGGGAAACCGGAGCUAAUACCGGAUAAUAUUUUGAACCGCAUGGUUCAAAAGUGAAAGACGGUCUUGCUGUCACUUAUAGAUGGAUCCGCGCUGCAUUAGCUAGUUGGUAAGGUAACGGCUUACCAAGGCAACGAUGCAUAGCCGACCUGAGAGGGUGAUCGGCCACACUGGAACUGAGACACGGUCCAGACUCCUACGGGAGGCAGCAGUAGGGAAUCUUCCGCAAUGGGCGAAAGCCUGACGGAGCAACGCCGCGUGAGUGAUGAAGGUCUUCGGAUCGUAAAACUCUGUUAUUAGGGAAGAACAUAUGUGUAAGUAACUGUGCACAUCUUGACGGUACCUAAUCAGAAAGCCACGGCUAACUACGUGCCAGCAGCCGCGGUAAUACGUAGGUGGCAAGCGUUAUCCGGAAUUAUUGGGCGUAAAGCGCGCGUAGGCGGUUUUUUAAGUCUGAUGUGAAAGCCCACGGCUCAACCGUGGAGGGUCAUUGGAAACUGGAAAACUUGAGUGCAGAAGAGGAAAGUGGAAUUCCAUGUGUAGCGGUGAAAUGCGCAGGGAUGUGGAGGAACACCAGUGGCGAAGGCGACUUUCUGGUCUGUAACUGACGCUGAUGUGCGAAAGCGUGGGGAUCAAACAGGAUUAGAUACCCUGGUAGUCCACGCCGUAAACGAUGAGUGCUAAGUGUUAGGGGGUUUCCGCCCCUUAGUGCUGCAGCUAACGCAUUAAGCACUCCGCCUGGGGAGUACGACCGCAAGGUUGAAACUCAAAGGAAUUGACGGGGGCCCGCACAAGCGGUGGAGCAUGUGGUUUAAUUCGAAGCAACGCGAAGAACCUUACCAAAUCUUGACAUCCUUUGACAACUCUAGAGAUAGAGCCUUCCCCUUCGGGGGACAAAGUGACAGGUGGUGCAUGGUUGUCGUCAGCUCGUGUCGUGAGAUGUUGGGUUAAGUCCCGCAACGAGCGCAACCCUUAAGCUUAGUUGCCAUCAUUAAGUUGGGCACUCUAAGUUGACUGCCGGUGACAAACCGGAGGAAGGUGGGGAUGACGUCAAAUCAUCAUGCCCCUUAUGAUUUGGGCUACACACGUGCUACAAUGGACAAUACAAAGAGCAGCGAAACCGCGAGGUCAAGCAAAUCUCAUAAAGUUGUUCUCAGUUCGGAUUGUAGUCUGCAACUCGACUACAUGAAGCUGGAAUCGCUAGUAAUCGUAGAUCAGCAUGCUACGGUGAAUACGUUCCCGGGUCU